UGCGCAGGCGGGCUUGUAAGUCAGUGGUGAAAUUUUGCGGCUUAACCGUAAAACUGCCAUUGAUACUGCAAGUCUUGAAUAUGGUUGAGGUAGGCGGAAUGUGUUGUGUAGCGGUGAAAUGCAUAGAUAUGACACAGAACGCCGAUUGCGAAGGCAGCUUACUAAGCCAUGAUUGACGCUGAGGCACGAAAGCGCGGGGAGCGAACAGGAUUAGAUACCCUGGUAGUCC
rnacentral:rRNA from 1 species